rnacentral:misc_RNA from 1 species
AUAAUAAACCUUUUGUUUCACAGGUUAUUAGACAACAUAAAUAUAUCACUCCUGAAGGCCUGUUAAGAACAUAUUUUGUGUCAUAAUACAGCAAAAUAAAUGAAAUUAAUUUACCAGAUAUAACUUCAUAUAAGGUGAAACAUGAGUUUUGUCACGUAACAUUAUAUGCAAUUGGGCAAAAUAACAAAAUGUUGAUCACGACCCACACAUAAAACUAUCAUCAUUCUGUUUACUGUUAUACAUGUACAUAUAAAAAAUCCUGUAAAUACCUAUUAUAGCACAAAGUCACAUUUAGAAAUAGAACUUCCACAAGAAUUUAUAAUCAUUUAUUUAGCUUAAAAAAUAUAUUCACAUCAAUUGACAAAAUGAGGAUUUUAAUAUGCAUCAUUUUUCUAGGAUUUUUAAAACAAGGAUAUGAAGCUGAUUCUUCAAAGAGCAGCAGUGAAGAAGACAAAGAUGAGACCAUCUCUGUAACAAAAACAACAAUAAAGACAACAACUAAAAGCAUAACAAAAGAAGCCAUAGCUUCAACACUUUCUCCAGAGACUGAACCAACAAUUAAAACCACACAAAGCACUAGUAUUAAGCCUUCGACAGCAUCACCUAUAGUUAUUAUUAAAACAAGUGUUCCUUCCACUUUAUCAACAGGUACAACUGUCAAGAAUGGUGAAAGAGCAAACGACUCCUCUUCAGGCCAAAUUGAGCCUUUUACUACAUUACCUGAGGCUGUAAUAGAAACAAGGAGUACUUCUUCAAUUUCACCAACCAGUACAACAGACAAGGAUAACAAAAAGGCAAGAGAUUCCUCUUCAUAUCACUCCAGUGAAGAAAAUGACAGUGACACUUCUCAUAAUGAUGGGGACAAACCUGAUGUUCAUGCCAGUAAUGUCACAAAAGAGGCAGGGAGAGAAGUGGACAAUAUGAAAGCUGUGAUUAUUGGUAUUAUUGUUGCAGUAGUUUUGUUGACACUGAUGCUGCUAGCAACAUUGCUGUUCAAAUGCUACAGAUAUAAAAGAGAGAAGAGGGUUGAGGUAUAUGAGACCAUAACAAAGCCAGUAGUCCAAGCCCAGGAGGUACACCACCAUUACAACUACCCAAACAACAACCCUGCAUUUGAGUCAUAUUAUGUUGAGCCCAUAUCAGGCCCUAAUAUUCACAUGAGGAGUAAACCAACAAAAGACAGUGACAAUGAGACAUAUAUUGAUAUUGAUAGAGGUUCUUCUUUGGUAGAUAGUGGAUAUGAUACAUGGAUGCCAGGCGGGUCUGGAAUAUCUCAGGAAGAGCCAAGUCCAGAGUAUUUAGAAGUUAUAAAUGAUUAACUGAAUGACAAGGUUAAUAGUGAUGAGGAGUUCGCAAAAGACAAGGGUAUAUUUAUGUAUCGAGGCUGGAUCUAAAGAGUAUGUGACCAAUAAUUGAUUAAACAUGAUAAAACGAGGGGUCGUGGGUUCAAUCCCCACUGCGGUGGACUGACUUUUUCACAUCAGCCCUUAGCACAGGAUUUCAUUCUGUGUUUUCAUUAACUAAAACUAUUUCUCCUUAGGGACAAUGGCCCAUGGGAAAGUCCACGUGAUAUCACAAAGAGAAUGAUUGACAUCCUGGAAAGACAGGUAAUUUAUAUUGGUCAUGUAAGACAUGGCUGCAAUGCUAUAUAU